GUCAACCACCCACCGCCUAUAGAGGUGGGGGCUUGUAGAAAUACAAGCUCGGUUGAUUAGCCUAUGUCAUUAGCUUUUGCUAAUGAUUAGUUAUAGCAGAAUAUAUAGUCACCGUGGGAUGCUCCACAAGUCCCAUGCUCUGAG
rnacentral:sRNA from 19 species